AUUGAACGCUGGCGGCAGGCCUAACACAUGCAAGUCGAGCGGAUGAAGGGAGCUUGCUCCUGGAUUCAGCGGCGGACGGGUGAGUAAUGCCUAGGAAUCUGCCUGGUAGUGGGGGAUAACGUCCGGAAACGGGCGCUAAUACCGCAUACGUCCUGAGGGAGAAAGUGGGGGAUCUUCGGACCUCACGCUAUCAGAUGAGCCUAGGUCGGAUUAGCUAGUUGGUGGGGUAAAGGCCUACCAAGGCGACGAUCCGUAACUGGUCUGAGAGGAUGAUCAGUCACACUGGAACUGAGACACGGUCCAGACUCCUAUGGGAGGCAGCAGUGGGGAAUAUUGGACAAUGGGCGAAAGCCUGAUCCAGCCAUGCCGCGUGUGUGAAGAAGGUCUUCGGAUUGUAAAGCACUUUAAGUUGGGAGGAAGGGCAGUAAGUUAAUACCUUGCUGGUUUGACGUUACCAACAGAAUAAGCACCGGCUAACUUCGUG
rnacentral:rRNA from 1 species